UACGGGGGGGGCAAGCGUUGUUCGGAAUUACUGGGCGUAAAGGGCUCGUAGGUGGCCAACUAAGUCAGACGUGAAAUCCCUCGGCUUAACCGGGGAACUGCGUCUGAUACUGGAUGGCUUGAGAUUGGGAGAGGGAUGCGGAAUUCCAGGUGUAGCGGUGAAAUGCGUAGAUAUCAGGAGGAAUACCGAUGGCGAAGGCAGGUCUCUGGGCUGACACUGACGCUCAUGCACGAAAGCGUGGGGAGCAAACAGG
rnacentral:rRNA from 1 species